AUUGAACGCUGGCGGAAUGCUUUACACAUGCAAGUCGAACGGCAGCACGGACUUCGGUCUGGUGGCGAGUGGCGAACGGGUGAGUGAUAUAUCGGAACGUAUCCAAUAAUGGGGGAUAACUAGUCGAAAGAUUGGCUAAUACCGCAUACGCCCUACGGGGGAAAGCAGGGGAUCUUCGGACCUUGCGUUAAUGGAGCGGCCGAUAUCUGAUUAGCUAGUUGGUGGGGUAAAGGCCCACCAAGGCGACGAUCAGUAGCUGGUCCGAGAGGACGACCAGCCACACUGGAACUGAGACACGGUCCAGACUCCUACGGGAGGCAGCAGUGGGGAAUUUUGGACAAUGGGCGCAAGCCUGAUCCAGCCAUUCCGCGUGAGUGAAGAAGGCCUUCGGGUUGUAAAGCUCUUUCGCAAGGGAAGAAAACUUAGCCACUAACAUUGGCUGAGGUUGACGGUACCUUGAUAAGAAGCACCGGCUAACUACGUGCCAGCCGCCGCAGUAA
rnacentral:rRNA from 1 species